rnacentral:rRNA from 1 species
GAUGAACGCUAGCGGCAGGCCUAAUACAUGCAAGUCGAACGGGAUCCAGAUCAAAGCUUGCUUUGGUCUGGUGAGAGUGGCGCACGGGUGCGUAACGCGUGAGCAACCUACCCUUGUCAGGGGGAUAGCCCGGCGAAAGUCGGAUUAAUACCGCAUGACAUCAUUGAGAGGCAUCUUUCGAUGAUCAAAGAUUUAUCGGACAAGGAUGGGCUCGCGUGACAUUAGCUAGUUGGUAAGGUAACGGCUUACCAAGGCUGCGAUGUCUAGGGGCUCUGAGAGGAGAAUCCCCCACACUGGUACUGAGACACAGACCAGACUCCUACGGGAGGCAGCAGUAAGGAAUAUUGGUCAAUGGACGGAAGUCUGAACCAGCCAUGCCGCGUGCAGGAAGACGGCCCUAUGGGUUGUAAACUGCUUUUAUACGGGAACAAACGUCGGUACGUGUACCGGUCUGAGUGUACCGUAAGAAUAAGGAUCGGCUAACUCCGUG